CACCUCCAUUGCGUGUGCGUGCCGGUGUUGUGACAGAACACUCAGUAGAAGUGCUGUGGGAUCGAGCACAAGGCCACGAGCACACGUAUGAAGUGCUUUGUAUGGGCUGUACUGACACUGUCAUGGUGCAGAAGGUGUCACAGACUCGGGCGGUAUUUCAUGGUGUGAUCGCUGGAAAGCUGUGUAACAUCUCAGUGCGCACAGAGAAGGAGUCUUUCAGAGACAGUGCACCUGUUUUCCUCACCAUCAGAGCUUUCCCUAGCUCGGUCACGUUACUGCUAGUGCGGAGGACGGCAUCGUCUGUGUGUGUGAGCUGGAGCGAUGGACCAGGAGUGUGUAACGCUUUCAUCCUGUCUAUCCGAAACUCCACCUACAACCUGCAGAUGAGGCUCAGGGUCUCUGAUGAGAGACAGUAUAACUUUGACCAUCUUCCUCCUGGGACUGUUUACACUGUCGAGGUGAUUAGUGUGAGUGGAGAGAGACACAGUUUUCCCACUGCACUUACUGUUAACACGUGUGAGUACAAAUAUC
ensembl:lncRNA